AUUGAACGCUGGCGGCAGGCCUAACACAUGCAAGUCGAGCGGAUGAGAGGAGCUUGCUCCUCGAUUCAGCGGCGGACGGGUGAGUAAUGCCUAGGAAUCUGCCUAGUAGUGGGGGACAACGUUUCGAAAGGAACGCUAACACCGCAUACGUCCUACGGGAGAAAGUUGGGGAUCUUCGGACCUCACGCUCUUAGAUGAGACAAGGUCGGAUUAGCUAGUUGGUCGGGUAAAGACCUACCAAGGCGACGAUCCGUAACUGGUCUGAGAGGAUGAUCAGUCACACUGGAUAUGCGACACGGUCCAGACUUCUACGGGAGGCAGCAUUGGGGAAUAUUGGACAUUGGGCGGAAGCCUGAUCCAGCCAUGCCGCGUGUGUGAAGGAGGCCUUCGGGUCGUAAAGCACUUUAAGUUGGGAGGAAGGGCUCAUAGCGAAUACCUGUGAGUUUUGACGUUACCAACAGAAUAAGCACCGGCUAACUUCGUGCCAGCCGCCGCGGUAAGUC
rnacentral:rRNA from 1 species